CUCUCUGAAAACUGAAGCUAAUUUGGAAGUUCUGAAGUCAAUACCCAGUGAAAAACUAAUGAUUGAGACAGAUGCACCUUGGUGUGGAGUUAAAAGUACACAUGCUGGAUCAAAAUAUAUAAAAACUGCAUUUCCUACCAAAAAGAAGUGGGAAGCCGGGUGCUGUUUAAAAGACAGGAACGAGCCCUGCCACAUAGUAUUUCCAGAACCAAGAAGUAAUAACAGGAAAGGAAGGAGAAGAUCCAUGCAUUUUACAAGCCAUGGCAUGAAGUGUUCUUAGGAGACGAACUUGCUAUAUAUGUAGUUCAAACUAGCCUUCCACUUGUGCCCUCCUCCCUAUACCCAGAAGACUAAGAUUAAAGGUGUGUAAAGUCUGUUCAUUCUUAAGUCUUCUGCAAACUCAUGACUAAAAUUUAGAAGGAAAUAAAAUAACAUUUAUAUCUCUCCAUAUUCCUAAGUACCUUUAAAGCAUUCAAAAGCAGACAAAGAAACACAGUAAUAAAAUACAUUACUCCUUUA
rnacentral:lncRNA from 1 species